GGAGUGAUACUCAAGAGGCCGAAGAGGUGCCCCUGCUAAGGGCAUAGGACGGGUAACUGUCGCGAGGGUUCAAAUCCCUCUCACUCCGCCA
rnacentral:tRNA from 1 species